AUUACCUUCCUCCAGCGGAGAUAAUUUUUGUUGCUGUUGUUGUCGCUUUUGCGGGAAGGACCCGGCCGCCAGGUCAGGCUCGCUCCGGGUCAGUGUGUUUUCUCUGACGGUCACCUCUGCAAGCAGAGCAGUCGUAGUGUCGUAUUUGCAGCUCGCUGAGAAAAGAGCAUUCUUAAAUCUCGAGGCUUAAUUCAGGGAUGGGAGGAAUAAAACAGGGGCUAUAAAGGAACGCUUUUUUUUCCCCCUUCCCUUCUCUUUUUAGAUCGAUCUAGUGCCUUGGAAGUAGAGAAAAAGUUACUAAAGACAGCUUUCCAGCCAGUGCAGAGGCGGCCCCAGAACCAACUUGACGCCGCUAUGGUUCUAUCGGCGCUCUCAUCAUCAUAGUUAAUUUUUUAUUGUUGUUGUAAUGAUUGUAAAAAAAAAUUCUCUGUAUAGUUAAAACUUGUAAGCAUGUCCGUAUAUUCAAACUCAAAAGGAAAAAAAAUACCCGCUUCUGUCCUAUCACCUGGGUUAGCUGAGCUGUGAAAUUUUUUUUGGAAGUCCAGUGAGAAUUAGAUGUCCCCCUUUUGGGUUUUUUUUGGUUUUUUUUUUUGGUUGUUGUUGUUGUUUGUUUUUGUACAUACCGUAAAAAAUGUACAUAUGUGUGAACCAAAUUGUACAAGAAAGUAUAUAUUUUUGGCUAAUAAAUAAACUGUUGCCACUUUGACUACA